GAAACACAGCAGCAAAUAAAGCACUGACUCCAAAGUACUUAAAAUCCAGCUGUUCACGUGUUGCUUGCUAGAGAGGGGGCAGGCUAAGAGCUGAAGUUUUGUUUAGAUGCUUUUGGGUAGUGAUGGAUGCUUUUAUGGGAGAAAAAUAAUUUCCAAUUUUGCUUGGCUUUGGCUUUUGACAGGCUAAUUUCUUCUGAAGACUAAAUAAGAUUGCACAGAAAUGAAGAGGGAGUAGCAAACCACAAAGGUGUUUUUUUGUUUUGUUUUGUUUUUGAGUGCAUCUGUUAAUACAGGGACUGGCAAAGAGAAGGAGACUAUCUAAGAAGAAAUUAAUUUCAGGUCCUGGAAGUUGUGAUUCCAACAGGAAUUGUUUUGGGAACACUCCCAAAGAGAAGAAAUCAGGAUUAUGUAUAUUAAAAGGUCAGAGUGAUAUACAGAGAAUACAAAACAGUGUGAUAAAUGGUAGCUUAGGAUUGAAUAAUGGAAAUGAAAUGGAAAAAAAGACAAAAGAACGAUGAACUAAAUUGAUUGGAAAGAAGACAUCAAUGCAAUGAUUCAAAGGAAAUGACCUGUGAAAGAAAGUGAUGACAGAAAAAGGAAGUACAAAGUAGAUGAUUGGAAAAGAAUGAAGAAAAAUUGUGGGAAACAGCUGUCUCCUGCCUAUAUGGAAGGAACCCAAGUCAGUUAACUGAAACUGCAUACUAAGGGAAAAUAGAAUGGAGAAGUAUGAGGUAAAAUCAAACACAAUGUUAACUUGCAAAAUCUACCCACGACUCAAGUGAUUAAAAAAAAAAAUUCUGAAUUUUCCAUUUUUUCUCUUGUUUCAUUCUUGAUUACAUAGG
rnacentral:lncRNA from 1 species